ACAGAAGGCAUCUGAGAGAAAACUGAUUUCUUAAAAGUUCAGCUGCAGCAUUAGACAGAGCGAAUAACCAUAAAGUUUUUAUUCUCUUUUUUCUUUAUAGUUUUUUUUUAUCAAUUGGCAUUUUUUUUUAUCUUUCAGUGUUUGAUUUAGGAUAAAAUCUGCUUUUCAGUGCUCUCACUGAGGGAAUGCAGCUUCUUUAAACUCAGUCAGCCUGCAGGUGCCUGCUGAAUGUUUUAUUUUAUUAUACUUCAUUGAUAUUAAUCAAACCAUUUACAUAAAAGAAAGAAAGAGCCCUUUGUUUCUUUAUGUUGCUGUUUCGUAAGAUGCAGAAACGGAAGCUGCUUUAGCGUUUCGUCUCUCUGGUUUCUUCCACCGCAUCUCCGCUCCAGGUGGAACCGCCGCUUAUGAUGCAGUGCCGGGACGCCGCCGUGUCCUCCCUCAGCUGGGCGCUGCUGCUCGGCGGGUCGGCCUUCCUGCUGCAGCAGAGCCGCUGCAGUGGACCUUACGGCCGCUACGUAGAGGCGGGCAGCCGCUGCUGGCCCGCGGCGCUGGGCUGGUUCGUUCAGGAGGUUCCGGCUUUCCUGGUACCGCUUCUGCUGUGGAUCUGCGGGGGACAGGAGAGCGGGACCGGGGGGACGCUGCUCCUCUGGACCUUCAUGCUGCACUACUUCUACAGGAGCUUUGUCUACUCCCCUUUGACCCGAGGCCGGCCGGUGCCGUUAAAGAUCGUCUUCUCCGCUUUUAUCUUCUGCUCGCUGAAUGGCUUCCUGCAGGGACACCACCUGCUCCACUGUGCCAAGUUCCAGCCUGACUGGGUGACGAACGCUCGGAUCUCUGCAGGGUUUCUGCUGUUUUUCAUCGGUCUGAUCAUCAACAUCCACAGCGACCACAUUCUGCGAAACCUGAGGAACCCUGGGGAGAUUGUCUACAGGAUUCCUCGCGGAGGGAUGUUUGAGUUCGUCUCUGGUGCUAACUUUUUCGGAGAGAUCUUAGAGUGGUGUGGUUACGCUCUCGCCGCUUGGUCCUUACCAACCUUCGCCUUUGCCUUCUUCACCAUCUGCUCGAUUGGGCCCAGAGCCUACCAUCACCACAGCUACAAGCUGAACAGAUGAAGCACGCAAUUUAACCAGAGAUUAUCAGCAAAGGUUUAAGGAUUAUCCCCGCUGCAGGAAAGCAGUCAUUCCUUUCAUUUUUUAAGGAUGGAGGUCCAACAGCACACUCAGCUGCAGAUAUCAUCAGAUCACUUCCAGAAAUGAAAAGGUCACCGAAGGUUCGGACAAUGGAGCUCUUGCUUGAUUUUAUGAUUAUGUGUCCCUUUUCCUUUGUAUAAAAUCAGCCCUCUGUCCUUUUUACCAAUUGGAACAAGUUGCGGUUUACAGGUUGUAUUAGGGGGUUGCUUCCUGUUAGCUUUUGGAUAAUAGCUGACUAAACUUAUUCUCUUAUCUUUAUCUUAUUUCUCUGUCCUAUUAGAUGUCUCAGUUUAAUAAAGAAUAAUUUUAAUAAGAA